UACGAAGGGGGCUAGCGUUGCUCGGAAUCACUGGGCGUAAAGGGUGCGUAGGCGGGUCUUUAAGUCAGGGGUGAAAUCCUGGAGCUCAACUUCAGAACUGCCUUUGAUACUGAGGAUCUUGAGUUCGGGAGAGGUGGGUGGAACUGCGAGUGUAGAGGUGAAAUUCGUAGAUAUUCGCAAGAACACCAGUGGCGAAGGCGGCUCACUGGCCCGAUACUGACGCUGAGGCACGAAAGCGUGGGGAGCAAACAGG
rnacentral:rRNA from 1 species